rnacentral:lncRNA from 1 species
AGUCGCGCGAAGCCAGAGAGGACCCUGGGCGUGAUUCUCCCUCCCUGGCACAGACGGAGACCCGAGUGACCCCGGGGUCCGGGUGGGCGUGGGGAAUGGACCCAUAGACCCGGGACGAGCGGCGCGGAGCCCGCAGCUGGCCAGCUUCAGCCACCUUGGGAGACGCAGUGCAGCUGCCGCUGCUGACAGACAAGACCAAGGCUCGGCUGGGCCCCACCCCAGAUCCGGCCUGAGCGCCUUCCGCGCUGCUCGGCCUCAAGGCGAAACUUUUCGCGCAGAAACUCCUGGAGAACAGCCCCGGCCGCCAGGAAAGAAGCGUACCCAGGCCGUCUGCUGUGUGCCCACCCCGAUCCCCAUCAGUGCCCCACGCACUCGAGCUCUUCUUCGGCGUCUGCAGCCUCUUCAUCCGCGCGGAGAGGCGGAGGUCUCCCGGAAACAGUGUCCGACUGUGGCACCCCAGAGCGUCCAAUGCGAGCUCAGGCCUUUCCCGCAAGUCUGGAGUUUUCUUAUCCAGUUGAGGCCGCCUUCGCUGUACUCACUCUCUGCCUCCCACCCCAUCUUCUGCCACCCGACCUCCAUCUUUGAUGGUUAGCGCCUUCAGCCCUCAACAGCUUCGCACAACCAACCCCUAGAAGCCGUGGAGUCAGACCGGCCAGGGUGGGACCUAGGUUUUAACUCGGGUUCUGGCUACACACGCUGCGCCUCCAUACAGUUUGUCCCAGGUUUGGCAGCAGGCCGGCUACCUUCAGGAAUUCUUUGCUUUGGCUUCUGUCUGUUCCUGUCUGUUGGGCAAGUUUCUAGCUACCCCACUGAGAGAACCAUAGAACAAGGACCCUGGCAUGGCAUACAGACAAGGAAUGUUUGCUGAAUUAAUGGAGCUGGUGCCUUGCAGCUUCCCUUUUGUUCCUUGAAGUUGCCCUUGCUCUCCUCCACAUCAGCUCCCUCUCCUCCUCAGCUACUUAUUCCCCACCCUGGCUUCUUCUAGUCGCAGUCCCCAAGUACUUGCUGAAUC